CUGGGAGUACUUACUGCAUACCGUUCACAGUACCUGAUAUUCUAUGUGUCUAAUAGUAAGGUGACCAAAUUUCUGAAAUGAAAUCCUGGGACAUUUACAGCUCGCGCGGUCUGGUCUGGUGUGUAGUACGUACAUUAAAUAAAGCACAUCUAAGAAAGAAAGUAAGGGGGCGCGGCCUAUUUCCACCCUCCUCUUUACCGCACGACCACGAUGCUCACUUCAUUUAACUCGAAUCCGUGUGCGCGUAAACACAGUGACCUGUGAGGUCCGGUCGGCUUCCUCUUCAAGGACACAGUGUCAUCACUACAACCCGCCACCAGCAACACGAAACGAUGAUUUUUUGGUGUUUCUUCUCCGUGGCUACACUUGCGUGGAAUGCCACGCUGCUGUAUGAAUUUAAUAAUGACGGAGAGAACUUAUGGGUGAGACACGAUAACAAGGUCCCCCUACCCUACUGUUCGUUAUCGCCGCCUCCUCCUGACUCCCUGUGCCUGGUCUGUGUUGAGGAGAAUAUCUUUGUUGUGUGCAACUUGCCCAUGGGGGAGGACUCUGCAGAACUUAUUUUGGAAGCCGGAAAAGAGUCUGCUGUGGACAUCUCAAAAAGCACUUGUCCCAACCUCCUCUCCAAUGGAGGACCCACAGGACAGCUGAGCACUACCAACACUUUUGGGAUGUUCCUCCUCGCUGUGGCUGUCAUGGUCGUUGUUGCUCAGUAGGUGGUGGCAGGAUCUGCACCAAGUGUGAAACAUCGGCCCACGCCUGAACAUCACUGCCUUCAUAUGCAUCACUGCCUUCAUAUAAAUGACUACAGUGGUGUGAAAAAGUGUUGGCCCCUUUCCUGAUUUUUUUUUAAGUAUAUUAGGUGUAUGCUAACUUUUCUACCUCAUGUAAGUUUUAUAUAUUUUACUAUCUUCUUUGUGAGAAGUGCUAUAUAAAUAAAAUGUACUUC